rnacentral:rRNA from 1 species
UACCAGCACCCCGAGUGGUCGGGACGUUUAUUGGGCCUAAAGCAUCCGUAGCCGGUUCUACAAGUCUUCCGUUAAAUCCACCUGCUUAACAGAUGGGCUGCGGAAGAUACUAUAGAGCGAGGAGGCGGGAGAGGCAAGCGGUACUCGAUGGGUAGGGGUAAAAUCCGUUGAUCCAUUGAAGACCACCAGUGGCGAAGGCGGCUUGCCAGAACGCGCUCGACGGUGAGGGAUGAAAGCUGGGGGAGCAAACCGG